GACGAACGCUGGCGGCGUGCUUAACACAUGCAAGUCGAGCGAACAGGCGCGGCUCUUGCUGCGUUCUCGAUUGGCGAACGGGGGAGUAACACGUGAGUAACCUGCCCCUGAAUUUGUGAUAACUCCACGAAACACGGGCUAAUACCGCAUAGGAUCUCCUGCUGCAUGGGGGUGGUUGGUAAGAGACGGCGGUUGUGGCUGGAAUGGAUGGUUAUCAGCUGGUUUGUGGGGUAGUUGCGUCCCAAGCCUUUGAGGGGUAGGCGGCCUGAGAGGGUGAACGGCGACAUUGGGCCUGCGGUACGCACCAGACGCGUACGGGAGGCAGCGGUGGAGAGCCUUACGCAGCGGCGCGAAGUCUGAGGCAGCGAUGCUGCGUGCGGGAUGACGGGCUUCGGGUUGUAAACCGCUUUCGACUGUGAUGAAGCGUGCGUGACGGUACUGGGUCAGAAAGCCCCGGCUAACUACGUG
rnacentral:rRNA from 1 species